rnacentral:rRNA from 1 species
UGAACGCUGGCGGCGUGCUUAACACAUGCAAAUCGAACGAAGCACUUUAUUUGAUUUCCUUCGGGACUGAUUAUUUUGUGACUGAGUGGCGGACGGGUGAGUAACGCGUGGGUAACCUGCCUUGUACAGGGGGAUAACAGUUGGAGACGGCUGCUAAUACCGCAUAAGCGCACGGCAUCGCAUGAUGCAGUGUGAAAAACUCCGGUGGUAUAAGAUGGACCCGCGUUGGAUUAGCUAGUUGGUGAGGUAACGGCCCACCAAGGCGACGAUCCAUAGCCGACCUGAGAGGGUGACCGGCCACAUUGGGACUGAGACACGGCCCAAACUCCUACGGGAGGCAGCAGUGGGGAAUAUUGCACAAUGGGCGAAAGCCUGAUGCAGCGACGCCGCGUGAGCGAAGAAGUAUUUCGGUAUGUAAAGCUCUAUCAGCAGGGAAGAUAAUGACGGUACCUGACUAAGAAGCACCGGCUAAAUACGUG